GUGUCAUCCGCCGCGGUAAUACGUAGGGGGCAAUCGUUGUCCGGAAUUAUUGGGCGUAAAGCGCGCGCAGGCGGCGAUUUAAGUCUGACGUUUAAGCCCAGGGCUCAACCCUGAUCAGCGCCAGAAACUGGAUCACUUGAGUGCAGAAGAGGAAAGCGGAAUUCCACGUGUAGCGGUGAAAUGCGUAGAGAUGUGGAGGAACACCAGUGGCGAAGGCGGCUUUCUGGUCUGUAACUGACGCUGAGGCGCGAAAGCGUGGGGAGCAAACAGGAUUAGAUACCCUGGUAGUCC
rnacentral:rRNA from 1 species